rnacentral:rRNA from 1 species
AGAGUUUGAUCCUGGCUCAGGAUGAACGCUGGCGGCGUGCCUAAUACAUGCAAGUCGAGCGGCAGCACGGUCUUCGGACUGGUGGCGAGCGGCGGACGGCUGAGUAACGCGUAGGAACAUGCCCCAAAGUGAGGAAUAACUGCCCGAAAGGGUGGCUAAUGCCGCAUGUGGUCUUCGGACUAAAGCUUUAUGCGCUUUGGGAGUGGCCUGCGUCCGAUUAGCUUGUUGGUGAGGUAAUGGCUCACCAAGGCGACGAUCGGUAGCUGGUCUGAGAGGAUGAUCAGCCUGACUGGAACUGAGAACGGUCCAGACUCCUACGGGAGGCAGCAGUAGGGAAUUUUCCACAAUGGGCGAAAGCCUGAUGGAGCAACGCCGCGUGCAGGAUGAAUGCCUUCGGGUUGUAAACUGCUUUUAUUAGUGAAGAAUAUGACGGUAACUAAUGAAUAAGGGUCGGCUAACUACGUGCCAGCAGCCGCGGUCAUACGUAGGACCCAAGCGUUAUCCGGAAUUACUGGGCGUAAAGAGUUGCGUAGGUGGCAUAAUAAGUGAAGCGUGAAAGCGUGCGGCUCAACCGCAUAUCCGCGUUUCAAACUAUUAGGCUUGAGUAUGAGAGAGGUAGAUGGAAUUUCUAGUGUAGGAGUGAAAUCCGUAGAUAUUAGAAGGAACACCGAUGGCGUAGGCAGUCUACUGGCUCAUUACUGACACUAAGGCACGAAAGCGUGGGGAGCAAACGGGAUUAGAUACCCCGGUAGUCCACGCCGUAAACUAUGGAUGCUAGCUGUUACUCACAUCGACCUGAGUAGUAGCGAAGUUAACGCGUUAAGCAUCCCGCCUGGGGAGUACGGUCGCAAGAUUA